rnacentral:lncRNA from 1 species
GACAAAUCAGAACAAAUGGGUAAAUAAAUGAAUGGGAGGAGGCUGCAGGGCAGUGACUCCCAUGAGAGAGAAAGAGCCCUAAGUACAGGGUUUCUAGACUGAAUUUUCCCACUAAUUUAUUUCCAGUGCCAACAAUACAGUAGGGCACUGAAUAGAGAGUUUAGGGAAAGCUGUUCUGAGAAGAUCACAUUUUAGCAGAGACCUCAUGAAGAGAAGCAGGAGAAAUGUGGAGACCUUGAGUGACUGUGUGCAGAGAGAACAGCAGCAGGUUUUUGAGCCCUGAAUGAGAAAAGGUUCAGCCCUGAAUGGGAAUAGGUUCAGUCCUGAAUGAGAAUAGGUUCAGUCUUCAAUGAGAAUAGGUUCAGUCCUGAAUGGGAAUAGGUUGAGCCCUGAAUGGGAAUAGGUUCAGUCCUGAAUGGGAAUAGGUUGAGCCCUGAAUGGGAAUAGGUUCAGUCCUGAAUGGGAAUAGGUUGAGCCCUGAAUGAGAAUAGGUUGAGCCUUGAAUGGGAAUAGGUUCGGUCGUGAAUGGGAACAGGUUCAGUCCUGAAUGAGAAUAGGUCGAGCUCUGAAUGAGAAUAGGUUCAGCCCUGAAUAGGAACAAGCUCAGCCCUGAAUGGGAACAGGUUGAGCCUUGAAUGGGAAUAGGUUCAGCCCUGAAUGGGAAUAGGUUCAGCCCUAAAUAUGAGCAGAUCGAGCCCUGAAUGGGAAUAGGUUGACCCCUGAAUGGGGAUAGAUUGAGUCCUGAAUGGGAAUAGGUUCAGCCCUGCAAGGGAACAGGUUCAGCCCUUUUAGAGACCAGUCAUGACAGCAAGAAGUUCAGGGAGGUGCGAGGGGCCAGGUCAUGUGGAACAGUGGAGUCAUGUGGAACAGUGGAGCCAUGUAGGACUGUGGAGUCAUGUGGAACAGUGGGAUCAUCUGGGACCACGGAGUCAUGUGGAACAGUGGAGUCAUGUGGGACUGUGGAGUCAUGUGGAACAGUGGAGUCAUGUGGGACUGUGGAGUCAUGUGGGACAGUGGAGUCAUGUGGGACCAGGGAGUCAUGUGGGACUGUGGAGUCAUGUGGGACUGUGGAGUCACACAUGUGGGACUGUGGGAUCAUCUGGGACUGUGGAGUCAUGAAGCCUUCUGGAUAUUUUUCUAGGAGUAAAAGGCAACCAUUGGGUAGCUCUUAAGCAGAAGGCUUGCCCGUUCUCAUAUAUUUUAAAUGGAAUCAAAAAGUUUUCUCUGGAGAAUGGCUUCCUGGGAAUUAGAGAAAAAUAGACAUAAGAACAUGUUAAGCAAAUAGUUACAUUAUUUAUAAAAUUAAUUAUCAAAAGUGAAAGUUCCAAGUGAGAAUGUGCAGGGUUCAAUUAUAAUCAAUGACGAUCUAUGUCAGUAUAAGGCUUACCCGGGGAUCAAAAAACUUAUUUUAAGAAAUCACUCAUGGAAACCUUGUCAUUGAAGAUUAUUUUUAACCUGUGAGUAACUGAUCCAGAAAGAGACACUGGAAGGUCAUUCCUGUCUGGGGUGCAUGACAUGAGGAACUCUUGAGCUGAUUGGACAGGGGCCAGAUCACAGAGGCGGCAGGCUGAGAUUGAUGAUGUAGGGUCUUGCAAAUAAUGUAGGGAUUUGGAUCCAGUCCCCUAGAACAAUGGGAAGCCAUGGAGGGUGCCAGCCAGUGAAUUCAUGACCCACUUGUUGAAUUUAAAAGGCCCACAAAGCUGGACUGAAGAUAAUGAAUGGAGGAGAGUCACAGGGUUGGGAGGAGGCUGGUCUGUACCUUAACAGUGGCCCCAUGAGGACACAGCAAUGUGGGCAGAAGAGGCUGGCAAGUGAGACAGAGAAACAGGAUUAGGAGUGAGAGUUCUCGGGACCUACUGAUAGAAAGUGGGAGGUUGCAGUGGGGUAUGGAGUGUGGCCCCAAAGGUCCUGGCAUACACAAUGAAUGGGUGGCUCUGCCCUUUGCUGAUGAGAGAAACACUGAAGGAGGUGCUGAGGUCAGUGAUUUAUAAUCCAGAGACUGUAGCCUUCUCCUUUUCCAAGUCACCACCUAAUGGGCCUUAGAUGCCAUGUUAAGUUACAAGGAAGCUUUUAAAAUGUGUUCUUCAGGACAUUGGUCGGAGCAAAGGAUUUUUGGAUGAGACCUCAAAGCACAGGCAACAAAAUCAAAAAUGAAAAAACGGGAUUCCAUUAAGCUAAAAAGCUUCUGCAAAGCAAAGGAAACAAUCAGCAGAGUGAAGAUACAAUCCACGGAAUAGGAGAAAAUAUUUGCAAGCUAUCAAUUUCAUAAGGGAUUAGUAACCAGAAUAUAUAGGAAGCUCAAACAACUCAGACGUGAAAAACACAUAAUCUGGUUUAAAAAUGGGUAAAAGAUCUGAAUAAACAUUUCUCAAAAGAAAACAGACAAAUGGCCGACAGUUGUAUGAAAAAAGUUCUCAACAUCACUAGUCAUUGGGGAAAUGCAAAUCCAAACCACAAUGAGAUAUCAUCUUACUCCAGUUAGAAUGGCUUUUAUCAAAACCACAGGGACUAACGGAUGCUGGCAAGGAUGCAGACAGGGGAAUGCUCACACGUUGUUGGUGGGAAUGUAAAUUAGCAUAGCUACUACAGAGAACAGUAUUGAGGGUCCUCAAAAAAUUAAAAAUAGAGUGACCAUAUGAUCCAGCAAUCCUACUACUCGGUGUGUGAAGGAAAUCAAAAUAUUGAAGAAAUACCUCCUCUCCCAUGUUUAUUGCAGCACUAUUCACAAUAGCCAAGAUAUAGAAUCAACCUAAGUGCUUAUCAAUGGAUAAAUGGAUAAAAAAAUUAUAUAUAUAAUUUAAUAUUACUCAGCCAUGAAAAAUGCCAUCCUGUCAUUUGCAUCAACAUGGAUGGAGCUGGAGGUCAUCGUGUUAAAUGCCAUAACCCAGGCACAGACAGACAAAUAUUAUAUGUUCUCACUCAUAUGUGGGAGCUAAGCAUGUGGAAUUAAUGAAGAUAGAGAGAUGAUCAUUGGCUCCCAAAUGCUGGGAAGUGGAGAGAAGAAGGGUGAUGAAGAGAAUUGGUUAAUGGGAAUAAAAAUACAGUUAGACAGAAGGAGUAAGAUCCAGUGUUCAAAAACACAGUAGGGUGAGUAUAAUAACAACAUUGUACUGCAUAGAUCAAAAAAGCUACAAGAGAAAAAUUAGAAUAACCCCAGUACAAAGAAAAGCUAAACAUUGGAGGUGAUAGAUAUCCGAAUUACUCUCAUUUGAUCAAUACAUACUGUACUGAAUGCAUGCAAUAUCAAAAUAUUGCACAUUUCCACCAAAGAAUGUACAACUCUUAUGAAUAAUAUCUGAAAAAAUAUUUUCUGCAGAAGAUAAAUAGACUCUGGUUUUAAUUCAAAAGCCUACGCUUUUAUAGUCAUGUACCACAUAAUGAUGCUUCAGUCAAUGACAAACCACAUAUAUGAAGGGGGUCCCAUAUAUUUAUAAUACUGCAUAUAUUUUUUGAGAUGGCAUCUCACUCUGUCACCCAGGCUGGAGUUCAGUGGCAUGAUCUCAGCUCACUGCAACCUCUGUCUCCCAGGUUCAAGCAAUUCUCCUGCCUCAGCCUCCCGAGUAGCUAGGGUUACAGGCACAUGCCACCACACCCAGCUAAUUUUUUCGUAUUUUUAGUAGAGAUAAGGUUUCGUCAUGUUGGCCAGACUGUGUCUCGAACUCCUGACCUCAGGUGAUCUGCUCACCUUGGCUUCCCGAAGUGCUGGGAUUACAGAUGUGAGCCAUCAUGCCCAGCCUAUAACACUAUUUUUUAACUAUACCUUUUGUAUGUUUAAAUAUAUUUAGAUACAUAGAUAUGUACCAUUGUGCUACGAUUGCCUACGAUACAGUAACAUGCUGCACAUGUUUGUAGCCCAGGAGCAACAGGCUACACCAUGUAGCCUAGGUGUGCAGUAGGCUACAACAACAAGUUUGUGUAGGGAGACUCUACAAUGUUUGCACAAAGACGAAAAUGCCUCAGGACACAUUUCUCAGAACAUGUCCUGGUUAAGCAAGGCAUGACUGUUUUUCACUCUUCUGAUGAUCAUCCA